GUGACAGCCGCCGCGGUAAUACGUAGGGUGCGAGCGUUAAUCGGAGUUACUGGGCGUAAAGCGUGCGCAGGCGGGCUUUUAAGCCAGACGUGAAAUCCCCGGGCUUAACCUGGGAAUGGCGUUUGGGACUGGAAGUCUGGAGUACGGCAGAGGAGACUGGAAUUCCUGGUGUAGCAGUGAAAUGCGUAGAUAUCAGGAGGAACACCGAUGGCGAAGGCAGGUCUCUGGGCUGAUACUGACGCUCAUGCACGAAAGCGUGGGGAGCAAACAGGAUUAGAUACCCUAGUAGUCC
rnacentral:rRNA from 1 species